AGAACGAACGCUGGCGGCAUGCCUAAUACAUGCAAGUCGAACGAACACUUCGGUGUUAGUGGCGCACGGGUGCGUAACGCGUGGGAAUCUGCCCUUGGGUUCGGAAUAACAGUUGGAAACGACUGCUAAUACCGGAUGAUAUCGAAAGAUCAAAGAUUUAUCGCCCAGGGAUGAGCCCGCGUAGGAUUAGCUAGUUGGUGAGGUAAAGGCUCACCAAGGCGACGAUCCUUAGCUGGUCUGAGAGGAUGAUCAGCCACACUGGGACUGAGACACGGCCCAGACUCCUACGGGAGCAGCAGUAGGGAAUAUU
rnacentral:rRNA from 1 species